rnacentral:rRNA from 1 species
AUACGGAGGGGGUUAGCGUUGUUCGGAAUUACUGGGCGUAAAGCGCACGUAGGCGGAUUGGAAAGUUGGGGGUGAAAUCCCAGGGCUCAACCCUGGAACUGCCUCCAAAACUAACAGUCUAGAGUUCGAGAAAGGUGAGUGGAAUUCCAAGUGUAGAGGUGAAAUUCGUAGAUAUUUGGAGGAACACCAGUGGCGAAGGCGGCUCACUGGCUCGAUACUGACGCUGAGGUGCGAAAGCGUGGGGAGCAAACAGGAUUAGAAACCCCAGUAGUCCC